rnacentral:rRNA from 1 species
AGUGAACGCUGGCGGCAGGCCUAACACAUGCAAGUCGAGCGGCAGCGCGGGGGCAACCCUGGCGGCGAGCGGCGGACGGGUGAGGAAUUCGUCGGAAUCUGCCUUUUUGUGGGGGAUAACGUAGGGAAACUUACGCUAAUACCGCAUACGUCCUACGGGAGAAAGUGGGGGACCGCAAGGCCUCACGCAGAAAGAUGAGCCGACGACCGAUUAGCUAGUUGGUGGGGUAAAGGCCCACCAAGGCGACGAUCGGUAGCUGGUCUGAGAGGAUGAUCAGCCACACUGGGACUGAGACACGGCCCAGACUCCUACGGGAGGCAGCAGUGGGGAAUAUUGGACAAUGGGCGCAAGCCUGAUCCAGCCAUGCCGCGUGUGUGAAGAAGGCCUUCGGGUUUUAAAGCACUUUUGUCCGGAAAGAAAUCCCUGGAGCUAAUACCUUCGGGGGAUGACGGUACCGGAAGAAUAAGCACCGGCUAACUUCGUG